rnacentral:rRNA from 1 species
GAAUGGCCGCGGUAUUUUGACCGUGCUAAGGYAGCAUAAUCAUUAGUUUUUUUAUUGAAAGCUGGAAUGAAGGGUUGGMYGAAAAAAAAACUGUCUUUAUUUAAUUUAUAAAGAAUUUYAUUUUUAAGUUAAAAAGCUUAAAUUUUUUUAAAAGACGAGAAGACCCUAUAGAGUUUUAUAAAAUUAUUAAUAAGUUUUUUUAGUAUUAAAUUUAUUUAUAUAAUAAAUUUAUUUAAUUGGGGUGAUUAAAAAAKAAAUUUAACUUUUUUUAUAUUAUUAUAUUAAUUAAUAAUUUUUUGAUCCAAUUUUUUUGAUUAUAAGAAUAAAUUACCUUAGGGAUAACAGCGUAAUUUUAUUGGASAGUUCAAAUCGAUAAUAAAGAUUGCGACCUCGAUGUUUGGAUUAAAGUUUAUAAU